rnacentral:rRNA from 1 species
GAUGAACGCUGGCGGCGUGCCUAAUACAUGCAAGUCGAGCGAACGGACGAGAAGCGUGCUUCUCUGAUGUUAGCGGCGGACGGGUGAGUAACACGUGGAUAACCUACCUAUAAGACUGGGAUAACGUCGGGAAACCGGAGCUAAUACCGGAUGAUAUUUUGAACCGCAUGGUUCAAAAGUGAAAGACGGUCUUGCUGUCACUUAUAGAUGGAUCCGCGCUGCAUUAGCUAGUUGGUAAGGUAACGGCUUACCAAGGCAACGAUGCAUAGCCGACCUGAGAGGGUGAUCGGCCACACUGGAACUGAGACACGGUCCAGACUCCUACGGGAGGCAGCAGUAGGGAAUCUUCCGCAAUGGGCGAAAGCCUGACGGAGCAACGCCGCGUGAGUGAUGAAGGUCUUCGGAUCGUAAAACUCUGUUAUUAGGGAAGAACAUAUGUGUAAGUAACUGUGCACAUCUUGACGGUACCUACUCAGAAAGCCACGGCUAACUACGUG